GUAUGUGUCACGCAAUAUUCUUUUACAGUUCUGCCUGACAACUCAUAGGCAACUUAUCACAACAUUCAGUGUUAACCACGAGUGUUCGGAUGGGACAGAGAUGUACUCAAUGUGAACAUUGAUAAGGAAAAUGAAAUAACUGAGGGUUCUGAAGAGCAAGAUACAAAUGUUGAUAAUGAAGGCACAGCUUCAGUCUGGCUCAAGGCUCUCCUCUUCCACAGACAGGGACCAGAUGUCACGGAUGGCUUUUCAAAAUCCUCAAGCGCAUACAGGCUUGCUGCUAUGUGUCGACAAGCCCCAUCAGCACUGAAAUAUGAACACAAAAUGAUAAAGAAAUUGAAUGAUAUAUUAUAUUAACACUGAAGUGUUUAAAUGCCAAUAUAUUAACAUUUUAUAAACGUGAUGUAAAAUCAAUUACAAUUUUCUUUUGAAUAAAGGUUGCAUUAAAUAAAUAUUUCAAAUACAUGUAUUGAAAAUAUAUUCAGUGGUGGAUAG